UCCCUGAUGGACUAGUGGCUAGCAUGCGGCGCUUUCAUAGAUCGAAUCCUAGGAUCGAUUUCUGGUCAGGGAA